AGGGUGCAAGCGUUACUCGGAAUUACUGGGCGUAAAGCGUGCGUAGUCGGCUUUUCAAGUCGGGUGUGAAAGCCCCGGGCUCAACCUGGGAAUGGCAUUGGAAACUGGCUGACUGGAGUGCGGUAGAGGGUAGUGGAAUUCCCGGUGUAGCAGUGAAAUGCGUAGAUAUCGGGAGGAACAUCCGUGGCGAAGGCGACUACCUGGACCAGCACUGACACUGAGGCACGAAAGCGUGGGGAGCAAACAG
rnacentral:rRNA from 1 species